ACUACUAUCACAAGACUUUUCUUCCCCUAAUCUCCAGGAUAAAAACCUUGGCAGGUUUUCUCGCACUUGCACUCAAGCAGACAACCCCAAUUAACGAUGCCUCUGGCCAGUGGCUCGAAUGUAUUUCAAAACAAAAACCUGCUGGGCCCUCUGCCUAACGAGGAAGUGGCCCAAGGUCUCAGGACCCAACUGAGAAGGAAGCCUGGUCCUGGGACUACGAGAUGCAAGGGAGAUACGCUGGCACUGUGAGGAGCUCUGACGUCCGCUGCUGAGGAAGCGGUUCAGCAAGUCUGCGACCACCGACUCCAGCACCAUGGCGGGGACCAGGAGACGGGAGAGGGAGGAGCCGGAACGCAGCGCACUCUGGAGGGCGGCGGCCGAUGCCGUGACUGACAGCUGCGGCCCGCCUCGCCCCGCGUCGCGCGUGCGCGACGCCGCCAACGCGCAGGCGUCCUUCCCCCACCCGCUCCGCUCGCUUCGAGAUUACAGGGGGCCGACGGGAGAGAGAGUGAGGCCUGGAGCAAAGAGGUGUGACAGGAAGCUGUGCGUUCGAGUCCCCAGAAUCGCAUUAUCUACUCGUAAUAGUGCACGCCUCUUAAUCCCAGCAUUGGGGAAACGGAGGUAGGAGGGUUAAAAGUUCAAGGUCAUCCUUGACUACGUAUCCUGUUCAAGGCCAGACUAGGCUAUAUGAGCCCCUAUGUUAGAAUUUUUUUUUUAAGUAAUGAAAUAAACUGGUGAGAUGGCCCAGCGGAUAAAGGUGCUCGCUGCUAAGCCUGAUGUUCAAAUCCUGAGACUCAAUGAUGAAAGGAGAGGACAGCUUCAAGUUGUUCAGACCUCUGCAUUCCAUUAUGCCUUGCAUUCACACAAACAUACAGAGAGAAAUCCAAGGCUACAUAGUGAGACCCUGUCUCUAAAUUAGUAAAUGUAAUUUAAAAAUCAAAGCUGGGCCGGGGGACAAACAUCUUUAGUCCCAGCACUAACAGGCAAGUGGAUUUCUGUGAGUUCAAGGUCAGCCUGGUCUACAUAAUGAAUUCCAGACCAGUCAGAGCUACACAAUGAGACACUGUCUCGAAUAACUAAGUAAUAGGGAAAAUACAAA